UACGGAGGGUGCAAGCGUUAUCCGGAUUCACUGGGUUUAAAGGGUGCGUAGGCGGACAGGUAAGUCAGUGGUGAAAUCUCUGGGCUUAACCCAGAAACUGCCGUUGAUACUAUUUGUCUUGAAUAUCCUGGAGGUAGGCGGAAUAUGUCAUGUAGCGGUGAAAUGCUUAGAUAUGACAUAGAACACCAAUUGCGAAGGCAGCUCGCUACACAUAUAAUUGACUCUGAGGCACGAAAGCGUGGGGAUCAAACAGG
rnacentral:rRNA from 1 species